AUGGCACUGCUGGGUCUUCUCCUGUGCCUGGUGACAGCCCCCCAAGGUGUCCUGUCCCAGGUGCAGCUGCAGGAGUUGGGCCCAGGACUGGUGCAACCCUCGCAGACCCUGUCCUUCACCUGCGCUGUCUCUGGAUUCUCCAUCACCAGUGGUUACUGCUGGCACAGGAUCCGACAGCCCCCGGGGAAGGGACUGGAGUGGAUCGGGCGCAUAUGCUAUAAUGGGAACACAUACUACAGCCCGUCCCUCAAGAGCCGCUCCUCCAUCUCCAGAGACACGUCCAAGAACCAGUUCUCCCUGCAGCUGAGCUCUGUGACCACCGAGGACACGGCCGUGUAUUACUGUGCGAGGGACACAGUGAGGGGAAGUCAGUGUGAGCCCAGACACUAA